rnacentral:rRNA from 1 species
UACCAGCACCCCGAGUGGUCGGGACGUUUAUUGGGCCUAAAGCAUCCGUAGCCGGUUCUACAAGUCUUCCGUUAAAUCCAACUGCUUAACAGGUGGGCUGCGGAAGAUACUAUAGAGCUAGGAGGCGGGGAGAGGCAAGCGGUACUCGAUGGGUAGGGGGUAAAAAUCCGUUUGAUCCAUUGAAGACCACCAGUGGCGAAGGCGGCUUGCCAGAACGCGCUCGACGGUGAGGGAUGAAAGCUGGGGGGAGCAAACCGG